GUUGAGAGAUACUCAUCGUCACUUUAUAAUAUGCAUUUCAAAAUAUUUAUUAGGAAAAGCAACUCCCAAUAAGUAUGCAACCAAAUAUACUUCAGCGUGUAGUAGGUAUUGCCUAGAUUUUAAUAAGUAUUUGGACAAAGUUGGUGACUUUUAGGGGAAUUCGUAAUCUAGAAGUUGGUCCGUGUGUCGAUACGGCUUCCGGCUGACGUGUUUGUCAUUGCUUCGGGGAGAGCAGGCCAGCACUUAAUUUUCAACUCUUGUACAGAAGACAUCUGAUCUCCCGAUCUCCGGUGGCCAUUGCCAGAAUUUACCUUUUAGUUGAAAAAGUUAUAAGAUUAAUUUACGUUGGAGGAAGUUUUUAUUUUGUUUUGGGUUUUGUGAAGAGUUUGAGGAGAAGAGUUUUUGUUUCCAAUACUUUUUUGAAGAGCAAUGGCCACUGGAGAAAAAGGAAAUUAAGUCACCAUUUUUGUUUUUGUUGGAUAUGGAAUAAGCAAUCAGUUUGGGGUUUCUUUUGGUGUGGAUUGGGAUUUUAUGUUUUUUUGGAAUCAA
rnacentral:lncRNA from 1 species